rnacentral:misc_RNA from 1 species
CUGCGGAGGUCAUUAAUAGUGUCUCUGGCUUCGGUCAGCUGGGUUCAAUGUCUGUCAUCUCUUCGGAGAUGGCCAUCCACACACACCGUGAACUGUGACUUCGGUCAUCACAAACUUUUAGUAAUGAAUGCAAAAAUCACAACAAAAUAAAACUUUUAACAACAGAUCUCUUGGCUCUCGCAUCGGUGAAGAACGCAGCGAAAUGCUAAAAGUAAUGUGUUUUGAAGUUUUCUGUCACUCCUCGUAUCUUUGACCACCCUUUGUGUUUUUUGGUAUUCCAAAGGCUGUGCCUGUUUGAGUGUUACAAACCCGCCCUCCACUUGGGUUUUUCCCCGCGAGGGAGUGUCGUGGGUGUUCCCUUGCCAAAGUUUCCCCUUAAAAAAAUACGCACCUUGGAUAUAAAACUUUUCACCCUUUCGGGUGGAUAAUAACCCCACAUAACUCAUGAUC